UACGUAGGGUGCGAGCGUUAAUCGGAAUUACUGGGCGUAAAGCGUGCGCAGGCGGCUUUGCAAGACAGAUGUGAAAUCCCCGGGCUCAACCUGGGAACUGCAUUUGUGACUGCAAGGCUUGAAUCUGGCAGAGGGGGGUAGAAUUCCACGUGUAGCAGUGAAAUGCGUAGAUAUGCGGAGGAACACCGAUGGCGAAGGCAAUCCCCUGGGCCUGCACUGACGCUCAUGCACGAAAGCGUGGGGAGCAAACAGG
rnacentral:rRNA from 1 species